AGCAGGAUAGCUCAGCCAGUAGAGUAUCAGGCUCUUAUUCUCAGUCAGGGUCAAGGGUUCGAAACCCACUUUGGGCUA